rnacentral:rRNA from 1 species
CAAGUCCGAACGCUGAAGCCCCAGCUUGCUGGGGUGGAUGAGUGGCGAACGGGUGANUNANACGUGAGUAACCUGCCCCUGACUUCGGGAUAAGCCCGGGAAACUGGGUCUAAUACCGGAUACGACCUGUCCUCGCAUGAGGGUGGGUGGAAAGUUUUUUCGGUUGGGGAUGGGCUCGCGGCCUAUCAGUUUGUUGGUGAGGUAAUGGCUCACCAAGACGACGACGGGUAGCCGGCCUGAGAGGGCGACCGGCCACACUGGGACUGAGACACGGCCCAGACUCCUACGGGAGGCAGCAGUGGGGAAUAUUGCACAAUGGGGGAAACCCUGAUGCAGCGACGCAGCGUGCGGGAUGACGGCCUUCGGGUUGUAAACCGCUUUCAGCAGGGAAGAAGCGAAAGUGACGGUACCUGCAAAAGAAGUACCGGCUAACUACGUGCCAGCAGCCGCGGUAAUACGUAGGGUACGAGCGUUGUCCGGAAUUAUUGGGCGUAAAGAGCUCGUAGGUGGUUGGUCACGUCUGCUGUGGAAACGCAACGCUUAACGUUGCGCGUGCAGUGGGUACGGGCUGACUAGAGUGCAGUAGGGGAGUCUGGAAUUCCUGGUGUAGCGGUGAAAUGCGCAGAUAUCAGGAGGAACACCGGUGGCGAAGGCGGGACUCUGGGCUGUAACUGACACUGAGGAGCGAAAGCAUGGGGAGCGAACAGGAUUAGAUACCCUGGUAGUCCAUGCCGUAAACGUUGGGCACUANGUGUGGGGGACAUUCCACGUUCUCCGCGCCGUAGCUAACGCAUUAAGUGCCCCGCCUGGGGAGUACGGUCGCAAGGCUAAAACUCAAAGGAAUUGACGGGGGCCCGCACAAGCGGCGGAGCAUGCGGAUUAAUUCGAUGCAACGCGAAAAACCUUACC